AGUUUCACACCAUUGCGACAAAACCCUAAAAUCACUCUCUGGGGCGACAAAAUCACACCAUCACCAUGACCACUAGCACAGCCGUUUCCUGAGCUUUCUUUGUUGAGCCUGAGCUUUCUCCAUUGCGAGCCUAAGCUUUCUCCGUGCAACAACCCUAUCGUGUACUCUUCAAACCUCCAUUUCAAUUUCUUUCAUUCAUGUUGUGAUUCUCCCUUCAUUCGCGUCACUUCUCUCUGGAUUCUAUCUAAAUUCUUCUCCGAUUUCGAAGCUAUUCCGUUCGUGGAUCUCGAUUACGGUGCUAUCAAACAUAAAAAAGAUGGCAUAGUUCCUGUUCGUUUCUGCUUACAAGAACAACACAUACAGAGUUAGAGACACCGUCACCGUCGCAGAUCAGUAAUAGUGUUUUGUCGUCGACGAUGAAAGUUGUAUUUGUUCUGGAUGGAAACCUCAUGUCGGAGAUACCGAACUGUGGUUAUGGCAAGGCGGUGAUGAUGGAUCAAGAAGCUAGGGUGUUGAGGUAUAAGGAGAAGAGAAAGAAUCGAAGGUUCGAGAAGACGAUUCAUGGAUCGUUAUUCUUCCAAUUUCUCCAUUCUCAUUCCAACGAGGAUCCACCUAGCACUAUCACGUUGGUUCUGGCAGGAUCUUCCUCGUUGCUAUUCACAGAUUCAACCAUGCAAGUCGCGAUUUCAUCAUAGGUAAUCAGAAGGAUCAAGCUUGAACAUAUAACUUGAAUGAAUCUCACCAACGCCGCGUCUAGUUCGAUCGGUCCCUUCAUAUUGUACUGAGAGCAAAUAGAGAACAUGGUUCUCACAUCGUCAUCGUUUUGAAGUUUCAUUUUGGUGAACAAGACGUUUCCGUCUGAGACUCUGAGCAGACCGACCGACGGUGAUACUCAACAUCAGUCACCCUUCUUGCAUCGUAGCAGUUAAGACGACUGUUUAGUUGGCUCAGCCGGUGCUUUAGAUCGGCCAAUGUAACAUCGACGUGGAUCCUAAAAAGAUCCGAUUUUGCGUUAUUGUAGUAAAUUGUAGUUGGGUGGGUGUUUUUUUUACUGCAAAAUUCUCCAUUGUUCUGAGUUGUGAAUGAAUGAGAAAUGAAACAAAACACCCAUGUUUAUACAGGUUUUGUUGCAUUUUCGAACACACAAUUCAUCUGAUGGUGUUUUGGACCACAAAUUCAUGUAAUAGUUUAGUUCGCUACUUAUGUAGCAGAUUCCUGCACUGGUUUAGUUCGCUACUUAAGUAGCGAACUUGGACGGUGGUCAAUUUUAUUGUUCUUUGGUAACAAUCAAUGGUCAAGAAUUGGCCACCAAUAGCGGUUUUUACUUUGCUUCAACCA